UAUUGCACUUAUCCCGGCCUCC
rnacentral:miRNA from 1 species